rnacentral:misc_RNA from 1 species
CACCGUUUUGUAAAUCUCCCUUGUGUUAAUGAGGAAAAAUCAUAGUAUCCUUGAGGUUGAGUUGGCAUAGCUGGGAAUGUUGGAGGAGGCAUUGUUGAUGAUCUGAUAUUUGUUGUCCCAUUGAUCAGAGCUCCCUGCCCUGAACUAUGCAUGCUUGAUGCUGCAAUAUUAACCGAGUUCCCUGCUGAAAACAUUUGCUGGUUGCUCCCAAUCUGAAUAUGUUUUGGUAGAUUAGUGGUUGGCAUCAUCAUUCCAAGAACCUGAUGGCUGGCGCUUCUCCAAUUCUGACUGGAUAAAUGGAUACCAUUACCAUUCGNNNNUGACUGGAUAAAUGGAUAUCACUGGGGCUGAAUUUAUUCAUAUUGGCAGGAAAGGUUUGAGAUCCACCACUAGAUUUCACUGCAGCUGCCAUGAGGACCUGAUGUUCUNUGGGACAACAUAGCAAGCUGCUGUUGAUGGGCAGAAAAUGGAGAAAACAUACUGGACUUAUCAAAGAGAUUCAUGAUAUCAUUAUUUGCAUCUUUCUGAGGCUGCCUUAAAGAUGAUGCAAACUGGUUCUUGCAUUCAGAUAUAUUUGAUGAAUCACUUCUCCCUGAUGUUGAUUCUACCUUAGCAGAUAUGAAACCAUCGAUGGGAGUCUUGGAGAAGUUUCCACCAGAAUCAUCCAUGCAAAGCAAGUUAAAAAGUUCAGUUGCAUAAUCCACUUUUGCUGGUGUUGCAACUGGUGUUUUUUUC